rnacentral:rRNA from 1 species
GAUGAACGCUGGCGGCGUGCUUAACACAUGCAAGUCGAACGAUGAAGCCCAGCUUGCUGGGUGGAUUAGUGGCGAACGGGUGAGUAACACGUGAGUAACCUGCCCUUAACUCUGGGAUAAGCCUGGGAAACUGGGUCUAAUACCGGAUAGGAGCGUCCACCGCAUGGUGGGUGUUGGAAAGAUUUAUCGGUUUUGGAUGGACUCGCGGCCUAUCAGCUUGUUGGUGAGGUAAUGGCUCACCAAGGCGACGACGGGUAGCCGGCCUGAGAGGGUGACCGGCCACACUGGGACUGAGACACGGCCCAGACUCCUACGGGAGGCAGCAGUGGGGAAUAUUGCACAAUGGGCGCAAGCCUGAUGCAGCGACGCCGCGUGAGGGAUGACGGCCUUCGGGUUGUAAACCUCUUUCAGUAGCGAAGAAGCGAAAGUGACGGUACCUGCAGAAGAAGCACCGGCUAACUACGUG